UGUUUUUCUUUCUAUCAUUGUGAAGCAAAAUUUACAGACCAUUGGAUUGUUCACCCUCCAACAAAGAACGUGAGCCAGGUUUAGACCGUCGUGAGACCGGUU
rnacentral:ncRNA from 1 species